rnacentral:rRNA from 1 species
CACUAGUGAUUUUGAUCCUGGCUCAGGAUGAUCGCUAGCGGCAGGCCUAACACAUGCAAGUCGAGGGGUAGAUGUCUUCGGACAUUGAGACCGGCGCACGGGUGCGUAACGCGUAUGCAAUCUACCUUGUACAGAGGGAUAGCCCAGAGAAAUUUGGAUUAAUACCUCAUAGCAUUAUUGAAUGGCAUCAUUUAAUAAUUAAAGUUCCAACGGUACAAGAUGAGCAUGCGUCCUAUUAGCUAGUUGGUGUGGUAACGGCAUACCAAGGCUACGAUAGGUAGGGGUCCUGAGAGGGAGAUCCCCCACACUGGUACUGAGACACGGACCAGACUCCUACGGGAGGCAGCAGUGAGGAAUGUUGGACAAUGGGCGCAAGCCUGAUCCAGCCAUGCCGCGUGCAGGAAGACGCAUAUAUGGUGUGUAAACUGCUUUUGUACGGGAAGAAACACUCUCUCGUGAGGGAGCUUGACGGUACCGUAAGAAUAAGGAUCGGCUAACUCCGUGCCAGCAGCCGCGGUAAUACGGAGGAUCCAAGCGUUAUCCGGAAUCAUUGGGUUUAAAGGGUCCGUAGGCGGUUUAAUAAGUCAGUGGUGAAAGCCCAUCGCUCAACGAUGGAACGGCCAUUGAUACUGUUAGACUUGAAUUAUUGUGAAGUAACUAGAAUAUGUAGUGUAGCGGUGAAAUGAUUAGAUAUUGCAUGGAAUACCAAUUGGGAAGGCAGGUUACUAACAAUAUAUUGACGCUGAUGGACGAAAGCGUGGGGAGCGAACAGGAUUAGAUACCCUGGUAGUCCACGCUGUUUACGAUGGAUACUAGCUGUUCGGAGCAAUUUCAGUGGCUAAGCGAAAGUGAUAAGUUCCC